rnacentral:rRNA from 1 species
GUGGGGAAUAUUGCACAAUGGGGGAAACCCUGAUGCAGCAACGCCGCGUGAGUGAAGAAGUAUUUCGGUAUGUAAAGCUCUAUCAGCAGGGAAGAAGGCAGACGGUACCUGACUAAGAAGCCCCGGCUAACUACGUGCCAGCAGCCGCGGUAAUACGUAGGGGGCAAGCGUUAUCCGGAUUUACUGGGUGUAAAGGGAGCGUAGACGGCCAAGCAAGUCUGAAGUGAAAGCCCGCGGCUCAACUGCGGAACUGCUUUGGAAACUGUAAGGCUGGAGUGCUGGAGAGGCAAGCGGAAUUCCUAGUGUAGCGGUGAAAUGCGUAGAUAUUAGGAGGAACACCAGUGGCGAAGGCGGCUUGCUGGACAGUAACUGACGUUGAGGCUCGAAAGCGUGGGGAGCAAACAGGA